GCCAAAUUACCAUUACCACAGUUUAUCGAAGAGGGUUUCUAGCUUUCACCCUACGAAUUUUUACCCGCAUUUUAUAAUCUAAGAAGUCAGCAGCAGGGGUGAUCCCGGGGAUACUGCAGUGAAAGCUAUCAAAUGCUACCUCGAUGAAAGUCGGAACUCCCAUAAAACGCAUGGACGCCCCAUCUUUCUAAACCCUAAACUUCUUGAAGUAAAAAAAAAGCCCACUCGCCCCAUCAUAGAGUUCUACCAAUGCUGAAAAGCAUCACGAAGAAGAUAAUCUGCAAAAAUUAGCUGUUUCCAGCUUUCCCAUUGCCAAACACGUGAAAUUACGAGUGCCACAAUUUGUCAAACGGGGUUUCCAGCUUUCACCGUACCAGCUUUCACUUGCAUCCCAGAAUCUAUGAAAGUUAGCAGCAGGGUGGCUCCCAGGGACACUGUAGUGAAAGUUAUCAAAUGCUACCUGAAGCACGUAGCACAACACACAUAAAUAUUCAUGGCGACAUUGCAGGCCAUCUCCUCCUCCUGUAACAGUACAAGACUCUCUAACUAUCUUCCGGGUCUCUCUCUCUCUCUGUGCUGAUUUUGUUUAGCCCCCUUCACUCUCUCUAUACUGAUUUUGUUUAGCCCCCUUCACUCUCUCUGCUUUGAUUUAUUUUUCUCUUUCUACAACACUGGUUUUGUAACCACUGAUUUCUGUUGUUUCUGCACCAUUCUUGCUCUCUACUGUUUUUUCUUACUCAUCAAUUUGAAGCUCUAUACUUGUUCCAGUUUACUUACUCAGUUUUUUGCUAUCCAUGGUUAACUUCA